GACAGAGGGGGCAAGCGUUGCUCGGAAUUACUGGGCGUAAAGGGCGCGUAGGCGGGAUGGCAAGUCGGUCGUGAAAUCCCUCGGCUCAACCGAGGAACGUCGAUCGAUACUGCUGUUCCUGAGGAUUGCAGAGGAGACUGGAAUUCCCGGUGUAGCGGUGAAAUGUGUAGAGAUCGGGAGGAACACCGGUGGCGAAGGCGGGUCUCUGGGCAAUUCCUGACGCUGAGGCGCGAAAGCGUGGGGAGCAAACAGG
rnacentral:rRNA from 1 species